AUAAGUGAAACAACCAGACAAGCAAGAAUGUACAGAGGAAAGCUAAAAAAAGAAAAAAAAAACUGGAACAAAAAUGCUAAAGAAAAUGUUAGUAAGCAAGCUGCGAUUGCUGAAAAUGUCCCAAAUAAAGAGCCUCCCUUUUCUGGAAAUCAUUAUUUUAGAGGUCCUUGAUGUGUCAGAAUUAUAAGUCUAUUACAAAAAGCAAUCUAGUUUAGACUUUUAGCAGGUCCAUAAGGUAAAUGUUUAGUGACAAGUUUAAUUUUUUUUUUUAACAUAAUUGACGAGUUUCUAACAAAUUAUUUUCUUUACUAGUUACUCAAAAAAUGAAAUAAGUUAGACGAGCAACGAGAAUACAUGAACGAUUGUAUUCUAUUCUAGCGGAAGAGAGC
rnacentral:lncRNA from 1 species